rnacentral:rRNA from 1 species
GACGAACGCUGGCGGCGUGCCUAAUACAUGCAAGUCGAACGCAUUUUCUUUCACCGUAGCUUGCUACACCGAAAGAAAAUGAGUGGCGAACGGGUGAGUAACACGUGGGUAACCUGCCCAUCAGCGGGGGAUAACACUUGGAAACAGGUGCUAAUACCGCAUAAUUCCAUUUACCGCAUGGUAGAUGGAUGAAAGGCGCUUUUGCGUCACUGAUGGAUGGACCCGCGGUGCAUUAGCUAGUUGGUGGGGUAACGGCCUACCAAGGCUGCGAUGCAUAGCCGACCUGAGAGGGUGAUCGGCCACACUGGGACUGAGACACGGCCCAGGCUCCUACGGGAGGCAGCAGUAGGGAAUCUUCGGCAAUGGACACAAGUCUGACCGAGCAACGCCGCGUGAGUGAAGAAGGUUUUCGGAUCGUAAAACUCUGUUGUUAGAGAAGAACAAGGAUGAGAGUGGAAAGUUCAUCCCUUGACGGUAUCUAACCAGAAAGCCACGGCUAACUACGUG